GAAUUUUGGACAAUGGGCGAAAGCCUGAUCCAGCAAUGCCGCGUGCAGGAUGAAGGCCUUCGGGUUGUAAACUGCCUUUGUACGGAACGAAAAGCUUUGGGUUAAUACCCUGGAGUCCUAACGGUCCCGUAAGAAUAAGCAACGGAUCACUACGUGCAAGCAGCCGCGGUAAUACGUAGGGUGCAAGCGUUAAUCGGAAUUACUGGCCGUAAAGCGUGCGCAGGCGGUUUUGUAAGACAGAGGUGAAAUCCCCGGGCUCAACCUGGGAACUGCCUGUGUGACUGCAAGGCUAGAGUACGGCAGAGGGGGGUGGAAUUCCGCUUGUAGCAGUGAAAUGCGUAGAUAUGCGGAGGAACACCGAUGGCGAGGGCACCCCCCUGGGCCUGUACUGACGCUCAUGCACGAAAGCGUGGGGAGCAAACA
rnacentral:rRNA from 1 species